rnacentral:rRNA from 1 species
UACGUAGGGUGCGAGCGUUGUCCGGAAUCACUGGGCGUAAAGGGCGCGUAGGUGGCGGUCCAAGUCAACGGUGAAAGCUCGGGGCUCAACCCCGAGUCGGCCGUCGAUACUGGGUUGCUUGAGCACUGUAGAGGCAGGAUGGAAUUCCGGGUGUAGCGGUGGAAUGCGUAGAGAUCCGGAGGAACACCGGUGGCGAAGGCGGCAUCCUGGACCGGCAGUUGACGCUGAGGAGCGAAAGCCAGGGGAGCAAACGGGG